GAUGAACGCUGGCGGCGUGCCUAAUACAUGCACGUCGAGCGAACAGACGAGGAGCUUGCUCCUCUGACGUUAGCGGCGGACGGGUGAGUAACACGUGGAUAACCUACCUAUAAGACUGGGAUAACUUCGGGAAACCGGAGCUAAUACCGGAUAAUAUAUUGAACCGCAUGGUUCAAUAGUGAAAGACGGUUUUGCUGUCACUUAUAGAUGGAUCCGCGCCGCAUUAGCUAGUUGGUAAGGUAACGGCUUACCAAGGCAACGAUGCGUAGCCGACCGGAGAGGGGGAUCGGCCACACUGGAACUGAGACACGGUCCAGACUCCUAAGGGAGGCAGCAGUAGGGAAUCUUCCGCAAUGGGCGAAAGCUUGACGGAGCAACGCCGCGUGAGUGAUGAAGGUCUUCGGAUCGUAAAACUCUGUUAUUAGGGAAGAACAAAUGUGUAAGUAACUAUGCACGUCUUGACGGUACCUAAUCAGAAAGCCACGGCUAACUACGUG
rnacentral:rRNA from 1 species